UGCGAGAGCUGUUCGACGCGGCCCGGCAGAUAAUGAAGAUGCGGAUUGAACUGGCGGAACUUGCAUCAGAGAAGUCUACGGCGCUGCAUCAUAGGACG